rnacentral:rRNA from 1 species
GGACAGGAUAACCGCUGAAAGCAUCUAAGCGGGAAGCCCCUUCCAAGAUGAGAUCUCCCUGAGGCCUUGAGCCUCCUGAAGAGCCGUUCAAGACCAGGACGUUGAUAGGUCGGGUGUGUAAGCGCUGCGAGGCGUUGAGCUAACCGAUACUAAUUGCUCGUGCGGCUUGACUAUAUAACACCCAAG